CCCGAUGAACCUGAAUAUCCAUUAUGGAAAAUUCAUCAUUAGAAUUGUAAUAUUUAAACAAUAUUAUAAUAAUAGUGUGCAUUUUUUCCAUAUAAGGACAUUGUAAUCUAUUAGCAUAUUAAUUUAUCAUAAAAUUAUAUCAUAUUGUUUAUUUCAAUUAUAAUGCUUGCGUUUUAACAUGAAAUAAAAGAUAUAAAUUUGAUAAAGUGCUGAUAGAUUUAUAUGAUUACAGUGCGUUAAUUUUUCGGAAUUAUAUAAUGGCAUAAUUAUCAUUGAUUUUUAUGUUUAUUAUAUGCACUUGUAUGAUUAACAAUGCGAAAGAUUCAGGAUACCUUCGGG
rnacentral:rRNA from 1 species